rnacentral:rRNA from 1 species
CCUACGGGCGGCAGCAGUGGGGAAUAUUGGACAAUGGGCGAAAGCCUGAUCCAGCCAUGCCGCGUGUGUGAAGAAGGCCUUCGGGGUGUAAAGCACUUUCAGUGGGGAAGAAAGCCUUGGGGCGAAUACCCUCGAGGAAGGACAUCACCCACAGAAGAAGCACCGGCUAACUCCGUGCCAGCAGCCGCGGUAAUACGGAGGGUGCGAGCGUUAAUCGGAAUUACUGGGCGUAAAGCGCGCGUAGGCGGUCUGAUAAGCCGGUUGUGAAAGCCCCGGGCUCAACCUGGGAACGGCAUCCGGAACUGUCAGGCUAGAGUGCAGUAGAGGAAGGUAGAAUUCCCGGAGUAGCGGUGAAAUGCGUAGAGAUCGGGAAGAAUACCAGUGGCGAAGGCGGUCUUCUGGACUGACACUGACGCUGAGGUGCGAAAGCGUGGGUAGCAAACAGGAUUAGAUACCCCGGUAGUC